rnacentral:rRNA from 1 species
UGGGGAAUAUUGCACAAUGGGCGCAAGCCUGAUGCAGCCAUGCCGCGUGUGUGAAGAAGGCCUUCGGGUUGUAAAGCACUUUCAGCGGGGAGGAAGGCGGUGAGGUUAAUAACCUCAUCGAUUGACGUUACCCGCAGAAGAAGCACCGGCUAACUCCGUGCCAGCAGCCGCGGUAAUACGGAGGGUGCAAGCGUUAAUCGGAAUUACUGGGCGUAAAGUGCACGCAGGCGGUCUGUCAAGUCGGAUGUGAAAUCCCCGGGCUCAACCUGGGAACUGCAUUCGAAACUGGCAGGCUAGAGUCUUGUAGAGGGGGGUAGAAUUCCAGGUGUAGCGGUGAAAUGCGUAGAGAUCUGGAGGAAUACCGGUGGCGAAGGCGGCCCCCUGGACAAAGACUGACGCUCAGGUGCGAAAGCGUGGGGAGCAAACAGGAUUAGAUACUCUGGUAGUCCACGCUGUAAACGAUGUCGAUUUGGAGGUUGUGCCCUUGAGGCGUGGCUUCCGGAGCUAACGCGUUAAAUCGACCGCCUGGGGAGUACGGCCGCAAGGUUA